rnacentral:sRNA from 1 species
AAAAGACAGAAGAUUAUGUGCCUGCUUUAAAAGGUUUGGGUGAAUGCCAUCUUAUGAUGGCAAAAGCAGCUCUAGUUGAUUAUCUUGAUGGAAAAGCCGUAGACUACAUAGAAAAAGCACUGGAAUAUUUUACUUGUGCUCUACAGCAUCGAGCUGAUGUGUCCUGCCUCUGGAAGCUAGCUGGGGAUGCUUGUACCUGUCUGUAUGCUGUCUCACCAUCUAAAGUGAAUGUUCAUGUUUUAGGAGUCCUUCUAGGUCAGAAAGAAGGAAAACAAGUAUUAAAGAAAAAUGAGCUCCUCCACCUUGGAGGAAGGUGUUAUGGUCGUGCAUUAAAACUGAUGUCUACAUCUAAUACAUGGUGUGACCUUGGAAUUAAUUAUUAUCGCCAAGCACAACAUCUAGCAGAAACAGGCAGCAACAUGAAUGAUCUUAAGGAGUUGCUGGAGAAAUCUUUACAUGUAUGGUAUAAAUAAAUUUUUUAUAAACUUUUUCAAAAACAUAAUGCUUUUCUCGAAGUUGUUUUGGAUGAAGUAAAUAGUGUUUUCACAUAAAACCACAUAUAUCUUGAUAUACAUGCUGCUAUUCCAAGAAAUAAAAAUUAAUCUAAUUUAACUUCUUUUCAGUGUCUGAAAAAAGCAGUGAGACUCGACAGUAAUAAUCACUUAUACUGGAAUGCUCUUGGUGUGGUUGCAUGUUACAGUGGUGAGAAUUGAGUAACACUUCAAUAUUUUUAGAAGAUUGUGUAUUUCAAACAAAGUUCAGUUUCAUCAAGUUUUGUAUUUUUCAGGUAUUGGAAAUUAUGCCCUUGCUCAGCACUGUUUCAUCAAAUCAAUCCAGUCAGAACAAAUUAAUGCUGUUGCAUGGACCAACUUGGGAGUGUUAUACCUCACAAAUGAAAAUAUUGAGCAAGCUCAUGAAGCUUUCAAAAUGGCCCAAUCCCUUGAUCCAUCUUAUUUAAUGUGCUGGAUUGGACAAGCUCUUAUUGCUGAGGCAGUUGGAAGUUAUGACACCAUGGAUCUUUUCAGGCACACUACAGAACUAAAUAUGCAUACCGAAGGAGCAUUAGGUUAUGCGUAUUGGGUCUGCACAACAUUGCAAGAUAAAAGCAACAGAGAAACAGAGCUGUACCAGUACAACAUCCUCCAGAUGAAUGCUAUUCCAGCAGCACAAGUUAUUUUGAAUAAAUAUGUAGAAAGAAUUCAGAAUUAUGCCCCAGCUUUCACAAUGUUGGGUUACUUAAACGAACAUCUACAACUGAAAAAGGAAGCAGCAAAUGCAUACCAAAGGGCAAUUUUGUUGUUACAGACUGCAGAAGACCAAG